UCAAACUUUAAAUAGGUA
rnacentral:snRNA from 1 species